rnacentral:rRNA from 1 species
GACGAACGCUGGCGGCGUGCUUAACACAUGCAAGUCGAACGAAGAGCGAUGGAAGCUUGCUUCUCUCAAUCUUAGUGGCGAACGGGUGAGUAACGCGUAAUCAACCUGCCCUUCAGAGGGGGACAACAGUUGGAAACGACUGCUAAUACCGCAUACGAUCUAAUCUCGGCAUCGAGGAUAGAUGAAAGGUGGCCUCUACAUGUAAGCUAUCACUGAAGGAGGGGAUUGCGUCUGAUUAGCUAGUUGGAGGGGUAACGGCCCACCAAGGCGAUGAUCAGUAGCCGGUCUGAGAGGAUGAACGGCCACAUUGGGACUGAGACACGGCCCAGACUCCUACGGGAGGCAGCAGUGGGGAAUCUUCCGCAAUGGAUGAAAGUCUGACGGAGCAACGCCGCGGGAGUGAUGACGGCCUUCGGGUUGUAAAGCUCUGUUAAUCGGGACGAAAGGCCUUCUUGCGAAUAGUGAGAAGGAUUGACGGUACCGGAAUAGAAAGCCACGGCUAACUACGUG